rnacentral:rRNA from 1 species
UACGUAGGGGGCAAGCGUUGUCCGGAUUUACUGGGCGUAAAGAGCGUGUAGGCGGCCACGCAGGUCCGUUGUGAAAACUGGAGGCUCAACCUCCAGCUGUCGACGGAAACCGUAUGGCUAGAGUCCGGAAGAGGAGAGUGGAAUUCCUAGUGUAGAGGUGAAAUUCGUAGAUAUUAGGAAGAACACCAGUGGCGAAGGCGGCUCACUGGCCCGGUACUGACGCUGAGGCGCGAAAGCGUGGGGAGCAAACAGG